rnacentral:lncRNA from 1 species
UUAGACUCGGCGAGUUGGAUGAACAACUCGGCGAGUCCUAUGAAGAUUGCCUGGAGCUCGCCGAGUUGUUCUUCAAACUCGGCGAGUCAUAUGAACUUUCACUGAGUAAGAGGGGUUUAAGUGUUGAAGGUCCAACCCUUCGUAUCUGCACGCGGAAUUAGCAGUGUAACGUAGUCCCAAAACCCCAAAUCCUCUUACGGAAUGUUCUGGUGAGGAUUGGAAGCGAGUAGGAGAUCUGCUCGUGGAACUCGGUGAGUUGCUCUCGGACUUGGCGAGUCGGAUCACGAAUCGGUUCCAUAGUCCCGAGUAGUGAGUCAAGGGUGACUCAGUGAGUGGAAAGAGGGACUUGGCGAGUAGGACCGGGUUAGUAGGAGAAGGACUCGGCGAGUCUGUGCCACGACUCGGCGAGUCCAGUCAACUGGGAGUUGACCUUGACCAAGGAGUUGACCUUGGACCAGGGAUGGGUCAGUCAAUUGACCUAAGGAUAUUUAUGAGUGGCUAAUCUAUGUUUAUGGGUUUGUAGCCGGAGGAUUACCGGUACAGCAGCCAGACGUCUAGCAGUCGGACUUUCGGUAGCUACUCUUCGAGGUGAGUUUCCUUCCAGUAGUAACGGGUCUAAGGCACCAAGGCCGGCCCAUAUAGACAUUAUGCUAGUGUCAGAGUGUGGGCAGAGCUCGUAUCUCAUGGUUGAGUUUGAUUAUGAUAUAUGCCAGUAUGAUAGAUUUGACUAUACUCGUUGUCUGUGUGAUACUUGUAUGUUAUGGAUUAGCAGCUGAGUGUUGGCGAGGCCCGUAUCUCUCUGAUAGUGGAGUGUGGGCGAGGCCCGUAUCUCUCAGAUAGCAGAGUAUGGGCGAGGCCCGUACCUCCUAGAUAGCGGAGUGUGGGCGAGGCCCUUAUCUCCCAGCUAGCGGAGUGUGGGCGAGGACCGUAUCUCGUAGCUGUUCAUUGUAUGUUUGUAUGGUAUGAGGUAUUAUGGGGGAACUCACUAAGCUUCGUGCUUACAGUUUUCAGUUUUGGUUUCAGGUACCUCUUCUUCGAAGGGGAUGGAGUUGGCGCGGUAGCGGCCCAUCACACACAUGCCUCGUAUUCCGCACUAUGAUAUCUUCCUGGGGAUUUGUACUCUGACAUUAUUAUGUUUAUGAAAAUGUUUUCCAGACAUGUUAUAUCUUUUAUGAAAUGUUAUGAUCGAUGAACGCUUUUAUUUCUAAUGCUUUACUAAGUAUAUGUUUUAAAAAUGAAAUUUUUGGCUUGUAUUUUUGGGACGUUACAAGUUGGUAUCAGAGCCCUGUUUAAGGGAUUCGGACACACCUUCGGGGGUGUCUGAACUCAAAUCAAGGGAUUAAAAGAUUUUAAAGAAGAAAAUGUUUUCUAAAAGCUAAGUAAAGAGUUUUAAGAAGGAACAAAGUGUGUGAUGUGCGCGACCGGCCGAGCUCAAGUAAGGAUUCCACAAGGUACCCAUACAAACUUAUGUUAUGUUUAUCAGUUUUAGUAGAACAGCAUGCUAGAAUAGGCCUAAGGAUCUAGUAGUGAUGCCAUAUGUGCCUACUUUAUGUGCCUCAGUGUAUGGAAAACUGCAUGCUAGAAUUGAGUAGACAACAGUAGGAUAGCCUGACUAGGUUAUGCCUGAUAGUAUGAGCUUAGCAUUGUAUGCUAGUGCAGUUCCUGUUACGAGGACAGAGUCGCUUGAGAUUGUUUCCUUUUGUCCGAAUGUUGUUUGCUUUGUGCUACGAGGGCCUCGAGUGAUGGGAGUUAGCUGUUAGGUGAAUACGUUAAAGUCACAUGUGAUCAGGGUUGAAUAAUCUCAGUGUGUUGGAUUUGACCCUAUUGCGUAGCUCUGGUUUGAGUCCUAACCAUUGUGGGGUGAGUCCCUCACUCGAAGGAUUAUCUGAGCCUCGUUGCAUGUGAUUGUAUUCGAGUAAUGGCUAAUUGGCAUUACAAAGAGACCGUCAGCAGCUGAGGACUGGGUUGGGAGGAGUCAGAGGUUUCCUAGGGUAAGCCUAGGAUGAGUAUAACAGUGAUCAACGGUAGUGAAAGGGACCUGGUGGAGUCAAGGCAGUCCUUGGAGAAGGUACGGAUAGAUGUGGAAGGUAGUAUGGGCCCGUACUACUGAAAAUAGAGGAUCCGUACCCGAACUAAGGAAGGCUGAGACAAGACCAGGGAACUUGAAAUAAAUGCGAUCCCUUUAGGGGUAUCAGUAUCAUUAAUGGUUGUCUGUGUGUAUUGCAGAAUGGUGGUACUACGCCAGAGGCCAGCUGGUGGCGGUUUUGGAGAGGGUUCGGGUUCGGGAUCAGGUUCCGAGCCAGUAGAUGAGAGGCUACGCGAGUUCAUCGCGUCAGAGAUCACCAGAGGCAUCCUUGAGUCGAUCCCCAUCAUUUUCGGGUCGAUCAAGGAAAGGAUAGUUGAGCUGAUGGAGGACCGCCUCAGGGCGUUCAGGAGUGACAUGGCAUCUGGCCAGUCAGGAUCUCGCACACUGUCCUUUAAGGACUUCAGGGUCAGUGGUGCGCCGGAUUUCCAUGGGGCGAAGGACCCCGUUACUGCCAGAUGAUGGAUUGCGGACAUUGAGUCCGCACAGUUGACGAGCUUCUGCCCCGAGGGGUCGAAGAUGAGAUGUGCAGCAGGAUGUUUACGAGACCGAGCUAGAGAUUGGUGGGAGUUCGUCGGUGACUCAUUGGGAGCCUCGACUGUUGAGGCUAUGACCUGGUCGGACUUUGUGACCAGGUUCAGGGCAGAGUUUGCGUCGGCUGUCGAGCUUCAACAGCUGGCCAGAGAGUUUUUAGACAUGAGGCAGACUACGGAGACUGUGGCGGAGAUCACCGCCAAGUUCCGGGAGAGGGCAUUGUUGGUGCCCCAGUAUGCGGGAGAUGAGGAUAUGAGGAGGACCCGCUAUCAUGACAUGUUACGGGCUGACAUCCGGGAGCAUGUUAGCUUUUCAGCUUGCCCUACCCUGGAGUCCAUGAUUGCCAGGGCGAGGGAAAGGGAGAUUGACUUGGAGCACAUUCGAAAGAGAAAGGCAGAGAUGGGGCAGGUGGUUGGGGCUUCGGGGAAGAAGCCCGAGGGAUCAGAUGGUAGGCCGAAAGGCCAAGGAGGGUUGGGCCGCUGCGGAAAAUGCGGCAGGUCGCAUGAGGGAGCAUGUAGAUUGGGAUCAUCAGGCUGCUACAAGUGCGGCAAGGCGGGGCACUUUAGCAGGGAUUGUACUGCCCCUGUCUCGGUUGUUCAGACAUCUGAGUUGUUGUGUUUCCACCGCAACCAGAGGGGCCACAAGAGGGCCAAUUGCCCCCAGUUGACAGCAGCAUCAGCGCCAGUGAAGGCGCCAACUCCAGCGAAUCUGAGGAUCACAGAUAGCCGGCAGGGCAAGUCAGAGACUCCAGUGGUGAGGAGUCGGGCCUUUCAACUGACGAAAGAGGAGGCACGCGCCGCACCCGAUGUGGUGACAAGUAUGAUUCUUUCCAUCUAUCUUAUUUUUAUGAUGUUAUGAUAUUGAUAUGUGCUCUAUUUAGGAUCGUUCCAUGUGAACGGUAUUCCAGUUCAGGUGUUGUUUGAUUCGGGGGCUACCCGAUCAUUUGUUUCUCUUGCGCUUAGCAAGAAGUUUCCUGAGUCUUCGGGCACGUUGGAUUGCCCUUUGGAGGUGGAGAUUGCCGAUGAUCGAUCAGUGCGAGCAUCAGCAGUGUUCAGGGAUUGUGUUCUAAAGUUGUUUGAGGAGCGCUACUUGGUGGAUUUGGUUCCCAUUCCGUUGCGUGGGAACAAGGUGAUUAUAGGCAUGGUUUGGUUGAGCCCUAAUGGGGCGGUGAUAGAUUGCGCACAGCAGCUGAUGCAGAUCAGGACCCCAAGUGGGGGAGAGUUGGUGAUCCAUGGCGAGAGGCCACAGCGUGGACCCACAGUAUGUUCAGCAGCAAGGGCUAGGCGCUACCUUCAGCAGGGUUGCGCGGGAUAUGUCGCGUACGUUAUGGAUACCCGGGAGGCGGGUAAGGCGACGGUGAGCGAGGUUCCAGUGGUGCGAGACUACGCUGAUGUGUUCCCGAAGGAGCUUCCUGGAAUACCUCCGGAGCGUCAGGUAGAGUUCAGGAUCAACCUAGUUCCUGGUGCGGCUCCGAUAGCCAAGGCACCCUAUCGGUUGGCUCCUCCCGAGAUGCAGGAGUUGUCUACGCAGCUGCAGGAGCUGCUAGACAAGAGAUUUAUUCGACUGAGCAGUUCACCCUGGGGAGCCCCGGUCCUGUUUUUGAAGAAGAAGGACGGGUCGCAUCGGAUGUGUAUUGAUUAACAGGAGCUGAAUAAGGUAACAGUGAAGAACCGUUACCCACUCCCGAGGAUUGAUGACCUCUUUGAUCAGUUAUAGGGAGCAUCUUGGUUCUCCAAGAUCGAUUUGCGGUCAGGGUAUCAUCAGAUGAGGGUCCGAGAGGAGGAUGUACAGAAGACCGCGUUUCGGACGCGUUACGGCCAUUAUGAGUUCGUAGUGAUGCCGUUUGGGCUCACCAAUGCUCCUGUCGCGUUCAUGGACCUCAUGAACCGCGUAUGUAGACCGAUGCUGGAUCGGUCUGUGAUAGUUUUCAUUGAUGACAUCUUGGUUUAUUCCAAGACGCAGGAGGAGCAUGAGGAACAUCUGAGAGAGGUUUUGGAGACCUUGAGGAGGGAGAGCUUGUCCGCCAAGUUCUACAAAUGUGAGUUUUGGUUGCGCGAGGUGCAGUUUCUUGGGCACCUCAUCAACCAGAACGGGAUCUCAGUAGACCCGACCAAGGUGGAGGCCGUGAUGAGAUGGGAGGUUCCGAAGUCUCCAUCCGAGAUUCGGAGUUUCCUGGGAUUAGCGGGCUACUAUCGGAGAUUCAUUCAGGACUUCUCUAAGAUAGCCGUACCUCUGACGCGACUGACAAAGAAAGCUGUGGUCUUUCGAUGGGGGCCUGAGCAGCAGGCAGCAUUCGAGGCUCUAAGACAGAGAUUGUGUGAGGCGCCAAUCUUAGCCCUGCCAGAGGGCGUAGAGGAUUUUGUGGUAUAUUGUGAUGCGUCCAUUUCGGGGUUGGGCGUGGUACUGAUGCAGAGAGGUCAUGUCAUUGCCUAUGCUUCGAGGCAACUGAAGCCUCACGAGGCGAACUACCCGACGCACGAUUUAGAGUUGGGGGCGGUGGUCUUCGCCCUCAAGAUUUGGCGACAUUACCUCUAUGGGGUUCGGUGUACCAUUUACACGGACCACAAGAGUUUGAGGUACCUCAUGGAUCAGCCGAAUCUGAACAUGAGGCAGCGUCGGUGGCUCGAUGUGGUGAAGGAUUAUGAUUGUGAGAUCCUUUACCACCCGGGGAAGGCCAAUGUGGUGGCCGAUGCGCUUAGCCGCAAGGNNNNNNNNNNNNNNNNNNNNNNNNNNNNNNNNNNNNNNNNNNNNNNNNNNNNNNNNNNNNNNNNNNNNNNNNNNNNNNNNNNNNNNNNNNNNNNNNNNNNGCAUAGUGGGUCAGGUUUCCUCCUUCGACUAUGAUAGCAGAGGAUUAUUGUCAUUACACCGCAGGGUGUGGGUGACGUACCUCGGAGGCGUGCGCCAGGUCUUGUUGGAGGAGGCACACAAAUCUCGAUUCUCCAUUCAUCCCGGGGCGACGAAGAUGUAUAGGGAUCUUCGUCUGGACUAUUGGUGACGCUGCAUGAAGCGCGAUGUGGCUUGGUACGUCGAGCGGUGCUUGACCUGCAGGAAGGUCAAGGCCGAGCACCAGAGACCGCACGGAAAGAUGCAGCCAUUGGAUAUCCCGUUAUGGAAAUGGGAAGGUAUUACGAUGGACUUUAUCACGAAGCUACCCAGGACCGCGCGGGGAGUGGAUUCUAUAUGGGUCAUCGUGGACCGGUUGACCAAGAGCGCCCAUUUUAUCCCAAUUCAGGAGAAGAUCUCGGCCGAGAAGUUGCCCGACAUCUAUAUCAGAGAGGUAGUGGCGCGGCACGGGGUGCCCGUAUUAGUGAUUUCAGACAGAGAUGUGCGAUUUACUUCCAGGUUUUGGAAGAAGUUCCAUGACGAGUUGGGUACUCGUCUGCAUUUCAGCACCACUUUUCAUACGCAGACGGAUGGUCAGAGCGAGCGGACCAUCCAAACGUUGGAAGAUAUGUUGCGGGCAUGUGUUCUGGAUUUUGGAGGUAUUUGGGAUACCUACCUCCCGUUGGCAGAGUUCUCAUAUAAUAAUAGCCAUCAUGCGAGCAUCGACCGUCCUCCCUUCGAUAUGUUGUAUGGAAGGAGGUGCAGUACCCCGAUAUGUUGGGGAGAGGUUGGCCAGAAGGUCAUGGGAAGCACCGAAGUGGUGCUCCAGACGACAGAGAAGAUCCAGCAGGUCCGGGGUAGGCUCCAGACUGCCCAGAGUCGGCAGAAAAGUUAUGCCGACAAGCGUCGUUCAGACUUGGAAUUCCAAUUCGGGGAUAUGGUUCCCCUGAAGGUGUCGCCGUGGAAAGGCGUCAUCCGAUUCAGGAAGCAAGGCAAGUUGGGCCCAAGGUUCAUCGGUCCAUUCAGGGUUGUAGCCCGGGUGGGCAAGGUGGCGUAUAGAUUGGAUGUGCCAGCCGAAAUCAGCCAGAUCCACAUCAAUUUCCACGUCUCUCAAUUGCGGAAGUGUUUGGUAGACGACUCGGCAGUGGUGCCUUUGGAGGAUAUUCAGGCUGAUGACAGCCUAAUUACAUCGAGCGGCCUGUGGUGAUCCUCUACAGGAAGUCGAAGGAUCUAAGGAACAAGAGGGUGGAACUCGUGAAGGUGCAAUGGCAGCACCGAAAGGGAUCGGAGUGGACUUAGGAGCCGGUGGAAGAGAUGAUGGAGCAUUACCCCGAGUUGUUUCAAGAUCGAGCAGCAGACUUAGAGGACGAAGUCUGAAAUAAGUGGGGGAGAUUUGUAGCACCUGGUUCCUGGUACGUACUCCUUGUGAUUAAUAUUUUAAUUUUACGCAUUUUUGCAUUGGACUCGGCGAGUAAACCCUGUUUGGACAAAAACCCUAAUCCAGGCAUUUUCACCCUAUUUAAACGCUCUAACUUGGCCUCCUUAGUCCCUAACACUUCCAGAGAACUGUAGAAAGAAACCCUAGCCCCCAUAUUGUUCUUGAGAAUGAUUUUGGCUUUGUGGAGAAGGUUUGGAGCUUAGAGGAAGGAAAAGGAGGUUGAAGUGUGCAAGGAGGGGAGGUAGAUCCGGAAUCUACACUGUGAGAAGCUUCCAUUCAGGUAGAAAAGUUCUUACCUUGAUCAUUAGUUCAUUAGAUCCCCUUUUUGUCCCAAAUUAGUGGUUUCAAGCCCUAAACCUCAAAUUCCAUGUAUUUAUGCUUUAAGUUUUGAAAGGACUUCAGAUUGGGAUCUUAUGGACAUCCUAAAAGUAUAAAGUCUCCGUGGUUGCGGUUAUUGAGGUCCCUAUUGAGUGUAUGACCCCUUAAAGAGCUUGGAUUUGCCUUCUUGAGCUCAUAGGGCCAUGCAUGCACGUAAAGUUUGCAACUUUACGUGAUAAGCAUGCCCUAGGAGCAUAGAUCUAUGGGUUAGAAACGUUGCAUGUCUCAGUUUUGGUCUGUAUGGGAAGUGGGUCGAAGGGACUCGGCGAGUCCCAAAGUGGAAAUCAGCGAGUUCUAUGAAGAUAGUCUUAAACUCAGCGAGUUGGAUGAACAACUCGGUGAGUCCUAUGAAGAUUGCCUGGAGCUCGCCGAGUUGUUCUUCAAACUCGGCGAGUCAUAUGAACUUUCUCUGAGUAAGAGGGGUUUAAGUGUUGUAGGUCCAACCCUUCGUAUCUGCACACGGAAUUAGCAGAGUAACGUAGUCCCAAAACCCCAAAUCCUCUUACGGAAUGUUCUGG